GUGCACCAGGCGAGAAAACCUCCGCAAUGCUCGAAAGAGCGACGGGGGGACUCCAAGUGCCUACGCUUUGCGUAGGCUUUUCCCAAGCCUAAAAAAGCUUGGGGAAUAAGGGCUGGGUAAGACGGGUGCCAGCCGCCGCGGUAAUACCCGCAGCCCGAGUGGUGGCCGCUUUUAUUGGGCCUAAAGCGUCCGUAGCCGGUCUGGUAAAUGCCUGGGUAAAUCGUCUGGCUCAACCAGACGAAUUCCGGGUAGACUGCCAGACUAGGGACCGGAGGAAGGAGAGGGUACUCCGGGGGUAGGGGUGAAAUCAGCAAGGUGAGUUGUUGAUGUAACUUGCCUUGCAAGUCACAAUCCUGUAAUCCUCGGAGGACCACCGGUGGCGAAGGCUCUCUCCUAGGACGGGUCCGACGGUGAGGGACGAAAGCCAGGGGAGCGAAACCGGAUUAGAUACCCGUGUAGU
rnacentral:rRNA from 1 species